rnacentral:tRNA from 1 species
UUUACCAAUUCAAUGUAUUUGCGAGUAUCUCGAUGUCCCAACAAAUCAAAAAUAUCAAGUAGAAAUUGUCAGAUACUCGAGCGAACCUAUGCGAACCAGAGCACUGCGUGUUUACAAUAGGUUCGUCCUCAUUCCUGGAAUACUUCCUUCGCGCUAAUCCAUUUUCACGAAAGAGGACAUUGGGAUACGUGAAAUAAUUAGCUCGCCGGCGCACAGAGAUCGCUCCGUCCCGGGCUCUGAUUGGCCGCGUUCGUAUUCCAGAUCGACUCCAGAGCCCACUGGAUUCGAGGCGCUGCCGGCGGUGAAAAGUGAUUUCUCACGAAAAGUGCGCGCGCGGAAAAAAUGUCGUUAAUCGGAAUUACGCGUUCGCGUUUAAAUUAACGUGGUUUCGCGACCCUCGCUCGUGUCGGACACUCGCGAUGUCAGUGUUCGCGUGAAGACGAUCUUUGGAAAUCCGCGGAUUUCCCGACGCGUCUCACGACGGAGAAACCGUCGCGUUUUGCGGCCCACGAAUCUGCAUUCGUGACGUCACGACAACGAAGACGAGAAGUUGGCAACAGGUGAAGCCACUUCGGUUCUUGUCGCGAAUGUGGGAUUACAGUUACGAGAUCGGUGGCGGAUUCGCGGUCGAAUUUGUGCGGAAUCGCGACGCGGACGCCAGGCCGAGGAGAGCCAGGGUGACGAUCAGUUUCGGGUGGCUCGUCGAACUCGCCCUUCGGAUCCGCGUAGGCGUACGGAGUCACCCUGACUCCGUAUCCGCGUUUGGAUAUGUACGUUCCACGAACCCGCGUAAAGAUAAUGGCGGUUGUGAACACUCGGUGCAUCGGUCGUGAAUUUCGAAAGCGCGCUCAAUCAGAAACGUAUAGUUAAAUUCGACGCCCAAGGGAUGUCUCGAAGACGUUUUAGGAUGUCUCGGGUUAAAGUAUGCUGUAUUCGGCGGAUUCGAAGUCCCAUCGACAUUCGAUCUUGCGCAGUGAGACAUCGUGAAUAGUGAUGAUUUCUAGAAUUCGCGAAUUAAAAAAAAAAGGGACGGAGAAGUAGCGCGAACGCGGGAGAAAUUAAUCAAGUAGACGUAAACUUUUGAAAAGUAACACGUACGGCAUCCCUGAAUGAAAAUUUUUCUCAGAAUUUUUUUAUACGAAUCGAAACAUUUUUCAAAAAUAUUGAAAAAAAGAAGCAGAUCCUGAUAUUCUGAACGUUCCAAUUUGUAUAAAAAAUCCGUGAGAAAUUUUUUCCAGGGACUUGAGAUUUACGGCACAACUCUACGGUUAUUGCAGUGGUCUCAGUUAUCGGCCGUGAUUGUGAUCACUUUCUACCUUAUCGCUUGGUUAUCAAAUUUAAAAAGUACGUCGCCUUGGGUAAUGAGAUCGCCGCGAGAUUAGCUUCGUCAACGCGAGAUGGCUGUAGUUGAGAGGCCACGAGAGAGAAGUCGUCGCAAGAAUCGCUCUUUUAUUCACGCAUUUUUAUCCAUGUUCAAAUUACUGCUUUAAUUUGUAUUGUAAAGUAUAAAUACUCUGUGCAAACAUAAACGUGCGGUAUCAGGCGCAUCGAAAAACAAUCGAGCGACUGGAGUUAAGGGAAUUUGACGUCUCGAGAUCCCUCCAUUUCAAAUUCGAUUCGAAAGUGAUCGUGUUAUCAAGAUCUUAAAUUGCUAAAACCGCGAUUGAAAAAUCUCACGUUGAUUGUAAAGAUUAUUUCAGGGUGCAAGUUUACGUUCGAGGGGACGACGAGUAUCCGAAUUUGAUUCUGUUCCUGGUUCGAAAUCGCGAGUGACAGUGUACGUAACGAGAGUGCCGAGUUUUAAUUCCGUUCGCCGAAAAUCUGCGUCGACGUCCGAAACAAACGUUUGCCUAUCCGAUUCGAAGUGCGCAAAAAGAAAAGUACAAUUCAAUGUAAUGGAAUAUGUGGACGGUGUAAGUCUUCAAUGGAGGAGGAAAUUACAACCUAGGAGAUGCAGAAUCCCGACAAGAUUUCGUGUAAUAUGACAGAUUGCCGCUCUGAUGUCAUCGUGAACUGUACAUUGGAGGAGCUUAAUUCACAAGCGCCCCUGUGGCCUAAUGGAUAAGGCAUCGGUCUCCUAAACCGGGGAUUGUGGGUUCGAGUCCCACCAGGGAUCAUCGUUUUCAACGUAUCAUAUAUCAAGCGAUAACUGCCGAGGAUCAACGCUUUUUAUUAGCUGGCGAAUCUUCUGACCGUAAGUUGCUAAGCUUUAUGCAAUGAUUAUGCAUGAAUUUGGAAAGAUCUUAUCAAGAGGAAUGCGAGAUAAUCAGCGAGCCAAUUUACUGUCAAUUUUCGUACAGUAUAAUUUAGCGUAACGUAAUUCCCUCUACGGUCCAUAUGAAAAUCAAUCAUAACGCAAUUGAGGUAAUCAGGUCAAUCUCCCUUUCAAGUAAAACUGAGUAAACGAGGAAUUUUUGUUAUCCAAUCUGCGGAAAAACGAAAAUUUACUUUGGUUUCUUGAAACAUAUAGAAUAAAGAUGUUAAAUAUUUUACACACAGAAAAAAUUUUUAAAAUAUAACUUACGGUUUAAAAAAUAAAUAUAUGUAGUUGUUUGAAUAAUUAUUUUGCUUUUGUUUAAAAAUUAAUCGAUUUUUUAUCGGUUCUUUAAUUUAUAAAUACAAAAACAAAAAUUAAAAAGAGGAGAGAAUUACGAAGAUUUAUCAUGUUUAACCGUAUGAAUGUAUUACCUUGGACUCUUUACCUCCUCGAAAAAGAACGUGAGACAUUUAACGAGGUGUGGCAAUCUUCAUUCGGAAGCUAAUUUCUUGUUUCAUUUCUUUAUCAUAAUUUCGCAAAUGGAUAGAAGUUACAACGUGCACUGCUAAAUCUGACUUAAUUACGCGGUUUUUAUCACUUUUAUUUUACUUUCAUUAAAGCAUCUUGUAAGACAAAUUUAUUUCUUUUCGCGCGCGCGCGCGCGCGUGUAUACGAUGAGAUGCGCGAGAUAACUUUAUGUCGCAAAGUACUCAACGCAAAUUUCAUCCUGUUUAUUAACAAGAAGUUGAAGCAUUACAAUUCUUCACGUAACAUGCAAAACGCAUCGCGAAUUUAUUUGCUCGGCACUGCUCUCUUUUUUUCCUUUACUUCAGGUAUAAUGGCAAGUUUAUUGAGAUACUAUAAUUGACAAUUAGAUUGUUAGUAUAAUUAAUUUAUUUAUUUAGUUAUAUAUUUACAUUGAUAUUAACUAUUUUUCCU